rnacentral:rRNA from 1 species
AUUGAACGCUGGCGGCAUGCCUUACACAUGCAAGUCGAACGGCGGCACGGGAGCAAUCCUGGUGGCGAGUGGCGAACGGGUGAGUAAUAUAUCGGAACGUGCCCAGUCGUGGGGAUAACGUAGCGAAAGCUACGCUAAUACCGCAUACGAUCUAUGGAUGAAAGCGGGGGAUCGCAAGACCUCGCGCGAUUGGAGCGGCCGAUAUCAGAUUAGGUAGUUGGUGAGGUAAAGGCUCACCAAGCCGACGAUCUGUAGCUGGUCUGAGAGGACGACCAGCCACACUGGGACUGAGACACGGCCCAGACUCCUACGGGAGGCAGCAGUGGGGAAUUUUUGGACAAUGGGCGCAAGCCUGAUCCAGCAAUGCCGCGUGCAGGAUGAAGGCC